rnacentral:rRNA from 1 species
UACGUAGGAGGCAAGCGUUGUCCGGAAUUACUGGGCGUAAAGCGCGUGUAGGUGGUGGGGCAAGUCUGCUGUGAAAGCGCCUGGCUUAACCGGGCGAGGUCGGCGGAAACUGUCCGACUCGAGGACGGUAGAGGGGGGUGGAAUUCCCGGUGUAGUGGUGAAAUGCGUAGAGAUCGGGAGGAACACCUGUGGCGAAGGCGGCCCCCUGGGCCGGCCCUGACACUGAGACGCGAAGGCGUGGGGAGCGAACGGG